rnacentral:tRNA from 3 species
UGCCCCAUAGCUCAACUGGCAGAGCAUCCGACUGUUAAUCGGAGGGAUGUAGGUUCAAAUCCUACUAGGGCAGCCA